ensembl:rRNA 5S_rRNA 5S ribosomal RNA
GUCUAUGGCCAUGCCACCCUGAAGAAGCCCCAUCUUGUCUAAUGUCAGAUGUUAAGCAGGGUUGGGCCUAGUUAAUACUUGGAUGGGAGACCACCUAAGAAGACCAGGUGCUGUAGGCA